UGGGCGUAAGCGCGCGCAGGCGGUUUCUUAAGUCUGAUGUGAAAGCCCACGGCUCAACCGUGGAGGGUCAUUGGAAACUGGGGAACUUGAGUGCAGAAGAGAAAAGCGGAAUUCCACGUGUAGCGGUGAAAUGCGUAGAGAUGUGGAGGAACACCAGUGGCGAAGGCGGCUUUUUGGUCUGUAACUGACGCUGAGGCGCGAAAGCGUGGGGAGCAAACAGGAUUAGAUACCCUGGUAGUCCACGCCGUAAACGAUGAGUGCUAAGUGUUAGAGGGUUCCGCCCUUUAGUGCUGCA
rnacentral:rRNA from 1 species